rnacentral:rRNA from 1 species
UACGGAGGGGGGCUAGCGUUGUUCGGAAUUACUGGGCGUAAAGCGCACGUAGGCGGCGAUUUAAGUCAGAGGUGAAAGCCCGGGGCUCAACCCCGGAAUAGCCUUUGAGACUGGAUUGCUAGAAUCUUGGAGAGGCGGGUGGAAUUCCGAGUGUAGAGGUGAAAUUCGUAGAUAUUCGGAAGAACACCAGUGGCGAAGGCGGCCCGCUGGACAAGUAUUGACGCUGAGGUGCGAAAGCGUGGGGGAGCAAACAGG